rnacentral:rRNA from 1 species
AUGAACGCUGGCGGCGUGCCUAAUACAUGCAAGUCGAGCGAACAGACGAGGAGCUUGCUCCUCUGACGUUAGCGGCGGACGGGUGAGUAACACGUGGAUAACCUACCUAUAAGACUGGGAUAACUUCGGGAAACCGGAGCUAAUACCGGAUAAUAUAUUGAACCGCAUGGUUCAAUAGUGAAAGACGGUUUUGCUGUCACUUAUAGAUGGAUCCGCGCCGCAUUAGCUAGUUGGUAAGGUAACGGCUUACCAAGGCAACGAUGCGUAGCCGACCUGAGAGGGUGAUCGGCCACACUGGAACUGAGACACGGUCCAGACUCCUACGGGAGGCAGCAGUAGGGAAUCUUCCGCAAUGGGCGAAAGCUUGACGGAGCAACGCCGCGUGAGUGAUGAAGGUCUUCGGAUCGUAAAACUCUGUUAUUAGGGAAGAACAAAUGUGUAAGUAACUAUGCACGUCUUGACGGUACCUAAUCAGAAAGCCACGGCUAACUACGCG